rnacentral:lncRNA from 1 species
GACCUCUGGCCCCUGCAGCAUGGAGCCAGCUACUGAUAUGCUCCAGUCUGCUGGCUAUGCCCAGAGCCACCAAAGACCCCUGUCCAGUCCCCUGACCCCCACCACCAGCCCAACAAAGCCCUGCCAGCACUGGGAAGCAGGCACAGGACCCCAUCUCUGGAACUCACAACCUCCUCAUCUCCUCUCCCAGCAGAGCAUCCAGAGCCACCAUCUUCUUCCAGGUGAGGAGAAACCCUGGCCAGAGACAAGGGGUUGGAUGAGAUGACCUCUGAGGACAUCUACAGCUGUAGAAGAGGAACCAGGUGUCAGACCCCACUUGGACCUUCGUGCUGCAUUGUGCCUGAAUAACCACACGAGGGCGCCCUCGCACCAACAAAGAAACAUGCCUUCAAACGUUCUCCCAAAGCUAGAGCGAAGGCCCUUUCACUUUUUGUUACCUGUUAAGUUUUAAUUAUUUUUCAUUUUGAAAUAAUGUCAUACAUGCAGAAAAGUUGUAAGUACAGUACAAGUAAUUCUCCCCCUCUCCCCGAACCAUUAAGAGUAACUUGCUGAAAUCACUCCCCAGGUUCACCAAAUUCUUUUUUUUUUUAGAUGGAGUCUCGCUCUGUCGCCCAG